UCCAUUUGUUUGAAACCAAAGGCCUGAGGCUACGAAGAGAGAAAUUUUGGGAGAGAGAAUUUGGAAGAGAGACUGGUGGUGGGGCUCAGAGAGAGAGACUGACCAGAAGAGUAAUAGGAAGAGGAGAGAAACAGAAGAGAGAAAGAGAGAAAAAAACUUCAUAUUCAACUACUCUUUGGCCAAUAAUUUCUCACAUUUUUUCUGUUUUUCCUCUCCCUCUUUCUCUUCUUCUUGUGAUUUUCUUUCCACGUUUUCCAUAAUUUGUUCCGAAUGAGCCGUUUAGGGUUCAAAUCGGCGGUGUUUCACGGCGACGUCCGUCUUGGGGAACUUGAUGCUAUUCCGGCCACGGACCAGAAUUUUCAGUUUCCGAACAACGAGAUUAGAAUCCACCGUAUAUCGCCGCCUAGUGAGAGAUGUCCUCCUCUUUCAGUUCUUCAGACAAUUUCUUCAUUUUCUCUUAGGUGUAAGCUACAAUCUUCCUUGCCUGUUGAACAGCCGCACUUGAUCCAGCUUCACUACUCCUGUUUCCACGAAUUGAAGACAGCAAUUGUGUUGGUUGGAGACGAAGAAAUUCACCUGGUUGCAAUGCCGAGCAAGCAGAAGAACUUUCCGUGCUUUUGGUGUUUUGCAGUGCCGUGUGGCUUAUAUCUAUCAUGUUUAGGAAUGCUAAAUCUUAGGUGUCUUGCAAUUGUUUUUGAUCUAGACGAGACACUUAUUGUGGCAAACACUAUGAAAUCUUUUGAAGAUAGAAUCGAAGCUCUUCGAGUUUGGAUUGCGCGAGAGACAGAUCCAUUGCGGAUAUCUGGAAUGUCUGCUGAACUGAAGCGGUACAUGGAAGAUCGGUCACUAUUGAAACAGUAUAUUGAGAACGAUACAGUUAAUGAUAAUGGAAGGAUUUUCAAGGUGCAGCUGGAAGAGGUUCCUCCACUAAACGGCAACUGCCAGAAAGUAGUGCGUCCUAUUAUUAGAUUGCUGGACAAGAAUAUUGUUCUUACUCGAAUCAAUCCAGAGAUUCGUGAUACUAGUGUUCUUGUGAGGUUACGUCCUGCAUGGGAAGACUUAAGAAGCUAUUUGACUGCCAAGGGACGCAAGCGAUUUGAAGUUUAUGUAUGUACCAUGGCUGAAAGAGAUUAUGCAUUAGAAAUGUGGAGGCUUCUUGAUCCAGAAGCGCACCUGAUUGCAACUAAGCAGCUUCUUGAACGUGUUGUUUGUGUCAAAUCAGGCUCUAGGAAGUCUUUGCUGAAUGUCUUCCAAUCCGGUUCAUGUCAUCCAAAGAUGGCCAUGGUUAUUGAUGACCGUUCAAAGGUUUGGGAAGACAAAGACCAACCACGUGUUCAUGUAGUUCCAGCAUUUACUCCUUACUAUGCUCCUCAAGCAGAGACAGCAAAUGCGGUCCCUGUCCUCUGUGUGGCUAGGAAUGUUGCAUGCAAUGUCAGGGGUUGUUACUUCAAAGAAUUUGACGAAAGUUUGUUGCGACGGAUUCUGGAAAUUUCUUAUGAAGAUGAUGUGGUUGAUCUACCUCCUGCUCCUGAUGUGAGCAGCUAUAUGAUGUCAGAGGAAGCUGGUUUUGUAUCCAACGAGACUGUGAAUGCUCCAAUUUGUGAAGGAAUGAAUGGUGUUGAAGUGGAAAGGAGAUUGAAUCAACCAGAUGAUAAGCAUGUAAUAGACAUGGCCAAUAAUUCUACCACGAGCCAAACGGAUGCAAAAGCAGAUACUUCUCAAGUGCCACCACCUCUCAAUCCGAAUGUUAUUGGACCAAAAUAUUCAAGAACUUUACUGCCUUCUCAAAAGCCUGGUUUGCUUGGGGCCCCUGUCAGACGAGAUCUCUCUUCUGAUCAUGACAUGAAGAGAGGACUCCUAGCUAUGAAACCUGGUAUAGAUCUUAGGACACAGAACUUUGGCGAACCCCCUAUUCUCUCCAGAAUGCCUGUACAAGUAUCAGCAUCCGGAUUACAGGUGCUAGGAAGUUCAUUAGUGGAUGAUGACUCCAGUAAAGGACAUCAAAAUAGUCGAUCUUCAGGACUUGUUCAAGAAUCUGAUGCUUCAAAAUCUGAUAAACAUCGGUCUCAUCAGAACCUAUUUAGCAAUAUUUCACAAGGACUUGCUAUAUCUCAAAAUCGAGCAUCUAUCAAUAAUAAAGAACAUCAAACAAUUCAAACCGAAGCAGAGAUGGUUUCUAUACCUCCGCCCUCGUUAUACAUUGGAGUUCUACAAGAAAUUGGUCGUAGAUGCAGCUCAAAGGUUGAGUUUAAAACUGUUGUAAGUACCAGCAAGGAUUUGCAGUUUUCAGUUGAGGUUUUGUUUACCGGCGAGAAGAUUGGUGUUGGUUUGGGUAAGACGAGGAAAGACGCUCAACAACAAGCUGCUGAGAAUGCGCUUCACAAUUUGGCAGAUAAGUAUGCUGCACAUAUCAAGCCUCUUAUGGGACCCAUGGAUGCAGAUCUCGACAAGGUUUCUAUUGGAGUUGAAAAUGGAUUUUUAUGGGACACUACUGCUCCUGCAGAUAACGAGUUGCUGAAGGAAGAAGACGUUUUGCAUAAAGAGAACAACUCUGAGGCUUUUGAUGAACCUCCUGAGAGUACUAAUUCUGAUUCGGCAAAUCAGCAGCAGCAGCAUGUUCAGAAGCGGCAGAGUUCCCCGAGAUCAUUUCCAAGUAAACGAUCAAAGGAAGAUGAUGUUCAUGGUCCAAAAAAUCAUCAUCUUGCAGCUUCACGGCAACAGAAGAAUGGCCAUUCCAUUACUUGAAGAAUGACAAUAAAUAUUAGCCAUCCCACCAAAAAAAAAAUUGUUAAAUUUUGUAACCCAGCCCUUCAAUUUGGCACAUUCCAUGGAACAAAAACAAAGCUUCCUGCCUCCCAAAAAGGGCCUUGAGGUAAUUUUAGGACAAGUAAAAGAGGGAGGGAGCAAGUGGACAGAUACUAUAUAAUCCAACGGAACAAGAACAGUUUAAAAUGCGAGUGAACUGCCAAAAUUGGGCCGGUUCUAAAGCUGAAAGGAAAAAGGAUCAUGGUGACUAACUAUGUUUCAUUCUUGGUCUUCUCUCGAUUUCGAGAAGACAAACAGUGAUUCGCGCCGGGAGCCCAGAGGAGCAAAGCUCAUUUUCGGGUAAAGCGGCGCAUAAAAAAGGGCUGGCCCGUCAAAAGUCCGGUUCCUUCGCGAACGAAGUUCAGAAUCAACAAGGGUUCGUAGAACGAAGGGAGUGUACAACUGGGGCGCAGCCCCACUUUUUUGUUCGUAACGAGGGAGAUCUCGAAUGGGGUUCUUCACGAAGUUCGAAAGAAAGGAAUAAAAAAGAGUUUCUCUAUGGCCUCCUCGUUUUGAGACAUUAUGGCUUUGGGGUCGACCCCGGUAACAAAGAAGGAAUCCAUAAAAACUUGGGAUCCAUAGAAAAAUUUUCGUUUUUCCCCCCAAAAGUGACAAUUUCGAGAAACUUUGCAACAUUUAAAAAAAAAAAUUGAAUUA